UGAAUCCGCGCGGGAGAGUUCCCAGCCUUCAGCUGGGGCGCCGAAGGAGCAAGUCCCUCCCUUGAAUCUCUCAGGCCCCGUUACCGCGCGGGCGAG
rfam:Streptomyces davawensis strain JCM 4913 complete genome